GACCCGACCUCCAACGGCGGCGGAUCAUCGCUGGGUGUGCGUUGCUGAACUAUUUUGCCGCAAGCCGGGCUUACAUAACUGAAACCCGACAUCGAAUUUCCUAGCCAAGCCGCAAACUACGUCAUUGGCUCCACAGUCACUGCAGCAAACGGUGGGCGCGAUUUUUGAAUGGAUUCGCGGCGCUGGGCUAUCGCAUCAUGUGAUCUUAGGAAACACAAUUAAGCACUUAAAUUACUAAGGAAAUGCGCUUGACAAAGCUGUGGCAGAACGGCUCGCCCGGCGAACGCCACCUGAGCACUUACUUUUGCUUUGCGGCGGUGCGCCUGCUGCUCGUAUUUGUGCCCCAACUGGGCUACGUGCAUCCGGAUGAGUUCUUCCAGAGCGUGGAGGUGAUGACUGGUGAUCACUUCCGGUUGGAGCACACGCGCACCUGGGAGUUCAACAACUCCCUGCCGGUGAGAUCAAUCGUUCUGCCCUUCGCUCUGCUCCGGAUUCCCUGGAGCUUCUACGAGUUUGUUGCCGAGUGCAUGAAGGCCUGGUGGCAACUGGAGCUGCUGGGCACCUACGCGUACGUGGUGUUCCCCCGGCUGAUUUACACUCUGAUCUCCUUUAGCAACGACUACUGCUGUUUCCGCAUUUGCCGGUUGUACGGACUCCGAUUCGAGAUACGCCUCUUGGCCAUGGGUAGCUCCUGGAUUCUUCUCGUCUUCGGCACCCGCACCUUCUCCAACAGCUUGGAAAUGGCCAUGUGCUCCUGGCUGCUCUGCUUGGUAUCGGAAUGUAUGUUGCGCACGAACACGGUGGUGUACAAAAAGGAGUUUCUCGAAGAGAAGUACGACAAGGCAGAGUCCAUUAGCGAAAGAGUGCGCAUUUGGAAGCUGAAGAACUCCCUGCCGGCGCACAAUCUUCAGCAUCUUAUGGCCAUGUCAACCAUUUGCGUAGCUGGCGUGUUCAAUAGACCUACAUUCCUGCUCUUUGGAGCACCCAUGGUCUUCUUUUGGCUGCUGCGAGGCAUGGGCACCAGAAGCAUCACCUUCAGGGACUUUAAUCUGCGCAUUGCUCUCUUCUGCUUGUGCGCCCUGCCUGCCCUAGUACUUUUUAUAUUCUGCGACUCGCUGUACUACCAGCACUUGACCCUCGGAGAACUGCACAUGAUGCACUUGAGCAUCGACAACUUCGUCUUCACGCCCUGGAACUUCAUUAAAGCCAACCUGGAUUCGGCACAGACUGCCAGCCAUGGAGUCCACCCAUGCUAUGUCCACCUGAUGGUCAACAUGCCAAUGCUGUUUAACGUCCUUGCCUUGGCUUCGCUGGGAGCCUUCGCACAGCUGCUGCUCAGAUUCUUCCGGGCGGAAUAUCAGGUGCUGCCGCGCUUCCAGAGCAUCGUGUCAUUGAUGUCGGGGGCCAUAUUUGUGCCCCUCUUCUUCCUUUCCCUGAUCAACCACCAGGAGCCGCGCUUCCUGCUGCCAGUCACAUUCCCCCUUAUUCUGCUACAUGCGCCCAAACUUAUCACAGGAUUUAGUGCCAAGUAUCCCUUUCAAAAGGACCACCCACUCCUGCGCUUGUUCUACGACAAACUGCUUUCGAGCAAAGCUUCUGGUCCCUACCUGCUGAAGAUCUGGUACGUAAGCAAUGUGGCGCUGACCCUGUUCUUUGGCUUCAUCCACCAGGCGGGCGUUUAUCCCUUGGCGGCGGACAUUUCGCAUGUGAUUGCCACUAAGCCGGCAGCAACGCACGUUCAUCUUAUAACAUCACACAUAUACAGUCUGCCUCUGCACCUGAUCAACAUUCCUAGCUCGAGGGUACUACACUUUAAUCGCCAGACCCACCAGCGAUAUCAUCGCCCAAGAGACUUUUAUAUGUACGAGUACGGAGGCCUACCCUUGGAUUCCCUGCUGCAGAAGGUAAAACUCAUCAGUGGGAGCUGCGAGGUGAAGCAGUCGGGCCCAAGUCGGCGGCGCUACAAACUGUAUUUGGCCAUUCCGGCGUCACUAAGUGCAGAUCUUCACGAGGCUCUGGUGCACUCGAAUGCCUCCAGCUACCUUAACUUCGAACUGCUAAAGGUGUUCUAUCCACACCUCUCCACGGAGGCGUUCCCUCGCCUUCAGGGCAGGCAUCCGUGCGAUGUGGAUGCUCCUCAUUGGGCGCACGAUGAUCUGCGGGGUACUUGUGCCGCGGAGCAGCUACCAGCGUUUAGCUUUGCCUACCUGAACAAGCAAUUCAGCUCCUUCGUCCAUCAACUAGGACUGGCGCUCUACGAGAUCGAUGUGACGCGCAACAAGCCGCGGUCCGUAGUACUAAAGAAGGCCUCAAUGAAGGAAACCGCGGCGUAGUCUUCACUUCUUGGCCAGUCCAAGUGCCUUAUACCAAAGUUCUAGCCUAAGAUGAACUAUUUAUUGUAACUUAACUUACAACUUCCGCGAUACAAAAUACUCUUGAUAAGCUUGACUUCUGUAAGCAUUCUUAAUAUGUGCACAGCAAACAUUUUAAAUAUGGCUAGUCAUUACCAAAUAUUCUUAAGAUUCAUUCCAUACAAACUAGCAUAUAAGGACAAUAAUACGGAGUGACACAGAUAAAUAGAGCAGCUCAAACUUAAAUCCUAUCCAAAAGCCAGAAUCGCAAUUCUGUCCAUUUCAGUUGUCGAACGCUG